rnacentral:rRNA from 1 species
AGUGAACGCUGGCGGUAGGCCUAACACAUGCAAGUCGAACGGCAGCACAGGAGAGCUUGCUCUCUGGGUGGCGAGUGGCGGACGGGUGAGGAAUACAUCGGAAUCUACUUUUUCGUGGGGGAUAACGUAGGGAUACUUACGCUAAUACCGCAUACGACCUACGGGUGAAAGCAGGGGAUAUUCGGACCUUGCGCGAUUGAAUGAGCCGAUGUCGGAUUAGCUAGUUGGCGGGGUAAAGGCCCACCAAGGCGAGGAUCCGUAGCUGGUCUGAGGGGAUGAGCAGCCACACGGGAACUGAGACACGGUCCAGACUCCUACGGGAGGAGGCAGUGGGGAAUAUUGGACAAUGGGCGCAAGCCUGAGCCAGCCAUACCGCGUGGGUGAGGAAGGCCGUCGGGUUGUAAAGCCCUUUCGUUGGGAAAGAAAUCCAGCUGGUUAAUACCCGGUUGGGAUGACGGUACCCAAAGAAUAAGCACCGGCUAACUUCGUGCCAGCAGCCGCCGUAA